CCUACGGGAGGCAGCAGUGGGGAAUAUUGGGCAAUGGGCGCAAGCCUGACCCAGCAACGCCGCGUGAAGGAAGAAGGCUUUCGGUUUGUAAACUUCUUUUAAGGGGGAAGAGGAGAAGACGGUACCCCUUGAAUAAGCCACGGCUAACUACGGGCCAGCAGCCGCGAUAAUACGUAGGUGGCAAGCUUUGUCCGGAUUUACUGGGUGUAAAGGGCGUGCAGCCGGCAGGACAAGUCCGAUGUGAAAGCCCGGGGCUCAACCGCCGAACUGCCUUGGAAACUGUUUGUCUUGAGUACCGGAGAGGUAAUCGGAAUUCCUGGUGUAGCGGUGAAAUGCGUAGAUAUAAGGAGGAACACCAGUGGCGAAGGCGGAGUACUGGACGGCAACUGACGGUGAGGCGCGAAAGCGUGGGGAGCAAACAGGAUAGGUACCCCUGUAGUC
rnacentral:rRNA from 1 species